CCUACGGGUGGCAGCAGUGAGGAAUAUUGGUCAAUGGACGAGAGUCUGAACCAGCCAAGUAGCGUGAAGGAUGACUGCCCUAUGGGUUGUAAACUUCUUUUAUAUGGGAAUAAAACGUUCCACGUGUGGGAUUUUGUAUGUACCAUAUGAAUAAGGAUCGGCUAACUCCGUGCCAGCAGCCGCGGUAAUACGGAGGAUCCGAGCGUUAUCCGGAUUUAUUGGGUUUAAAGGGAGCGUAGGUGGGUUGUUAAGUCAGUUGUGAAAGUUUGCGGCUCAACCGUAAAAUUGCAGUUGAAACUGGCAGUCUUGAGUACAGUAGAGGUGGGCGGAAUUCGUGGUGUAGCGGUGAAAUGCUUAGAUAUCACGAAGAACUCCGAUUGCGAAGGCAGUUCACUAGACUGCAACUGACACUGAGGCUCGAAAGUGUGGGUAUCAAACAGGAUUAGAUACCCGAGUAGUC
rnacentral:rRNA from 1 species